CCAGCAAACAAGCACAUGUGGAACUAGCUCACAAGAUGCGUAAGCGAGAUGCUGGUACAACCCCAAAAUUAGGGGAUCGAGUUCCGUAUAUCAUUAUCGCAGCUGCUAAAAACGAACCUCAAGGCGGAAGACCCGAUUUUUGUCCUGGAACACAGCGUACCUAUUGAUGCCCAAUACUAUUUGGAAAAUCAGCUUUCAAAACCCUUUGUUUGGAUUUUUGAACCCAUACUUGGAUCUAAAGCGGAAUCAUUGUUGCUACAUGGUUACCAUACCCGGACGCCUUCAGUUGUUACUUCAAAAAUUGGUGGAUUGGCUAGCUUUACCACAUGCAAAUCCACCUGUGUUGGAUGCAAAACCGUCCUUCCAGACGAUAGUGCU